UACGAAGGGGGCUAGCGUUGCUCGGAAUCACUGGGCGUAAAGAGCGCGUAGGCGGAUCUUUAAGUCGGGGGUGAAAGCCUGUGGCUCAACCACAGAAUUGCCUUCGAUACUGGGGAUCUCGAGACCGGAAGAGGUGAGUGGAACUGCGAGUGUAGAGGUGAAAUUCGUAGAUAUUCGCAAGAACACCAGUGGCGAAGGCGGCUCACUGGUCCGGUUCUGACGCUGAGGCGCGAAAGCGUGGGGAGCAAACAGG
rnacentral:rRNA from 1 species